rnacentral:rRNA from 1 species
CCCACGCCCACAGUUGCCAGCGUACUCUCUGGAGUGACGGGUACACUGUCGGGGACCGCCGCUGCUAAAGCGGAGGAAGGAAUGGGCAACGGUAGGUCAGCAUGCCCCGAAUUAUCCCGGGCUACACGCGGGCUACAAUGGUCAGGACAAUGGGCAUCAACACCGAAAGGUGAAGGCAAUCUCUUAAACCUGUCCUUAGUUCGGAUUGUGGGCUGCAACUCGCCCACAUGAAGCUGGAAUCUGUAGUAAUCGCGUCUCAAAAUGGCGCGGUGAAUAUGUCCCUGCUCCUU